rnacentral:rRNA from 1 species
UACGGAGGGAGCUAGCGUUGUUCGGAUAUACUGGGCGUAAAGCGCACGUAGGCGGCGCAGCAAGUCAGGGGUGAAAUCCCGGAGCUCAACUCCGGAACUGCCUUUGAAACUGCAGUGCUAGAAUCCUGGAGAGGCGAGUGGAAUUCCGAGUGUAGAGGUGAAAUUCGUAGAUAUUCGGAAGAACACCAGUGGCGAAGGCGACUCGCUGGACAGGUAUUGACGCUGAGGUGCGAAAGCGUGGGGAGCAGACAGG